GGAUUUUUGGGCUUCAAAUCUUCAUUUUCAAGGUUGAAAGGUUUUAAUGGUAUUUCGGGACUACUUGAAUUAGAACCUUGGUGGUGCUAGUUUUGUCAGAUUCAUGGGUGGUUGAGACAUAGAUUGAGGCGUCCGCGUACUCCCAUCUUUUGGCCAGUUACUUUGACAUUCAGUAGCCAUAUCUCCCAUCUAAAGUCACUCUGCUGACAGUCAAGUUUUAAUUAUGUGUAUAUGACUAUUUGUUGUGAAAUGUUGAAAUUCGCUUGUCAAAUUAUAUGUAUGUAAAUAAUGGUUGAUGAUGCCAUUAUGAAUACAUGACUGGGUUUGAUGAGUUGUUUUCAAAAGAAUUGUAAUUGAGCAUUAUGAAAUUUCAGAUUUUAAAGAAAUAUGGAUUAACAUAUAAGAUCAUGUAAGUAGGCUUGCUCGGCCUUAGUGAGUUGAGCUCAUUGGGUUUUUGCAUCGAUCAUGGCCUUAAAAUUGGGCUACGACACUAUCUACUUUGAAAAUGUUUGUAUU